GGACUUCAGACUUCAUGUUCUCGUAAAUGGCGAAGUACACCAACUGGGUUAAAUGUAGGAAUGAAGAGAAGCAUCAUGUAAUACGGCAUCCAUGGGUAUUCAGAUUAGCAUUUCUUGGAAGUUUCUAUAUUUAAGCUGAAGGAGAUAAUUAUCAAUGUUAAGACACAGUUUUUAUGUUUUGAGUAAACUUAGGAUUCAGACAUUAACUGUGAAAGAGCUACUUGUGUGAUCUAAAUUUAUCGAGUCUAGUUUGUUUCAUAUUUACGCAGAGUUCAGUUACUGCUGAUUAACACUUUGUUGAAGGUUGUAAACCGCAUUGUUAAACGUACUGUGUCUCCUUGAUUUCUCUGCAUAGCACUUCCACCAUCAUACAAGCAUCGGUGCUGCAGUAUGCUUCUAGAUGAGACACCUGCCAGUGCAUAAAUCUGACCCAUUUAUUUA
rnacentral:lncRNA from 1 species